GCCCUGGUAGUCUAGCGGCCUAGGAUGGGACCCUGUCGCGGUCCCGACCCGGGUUCAAAUUGAGCUACUGGCUAUGAGCACUAUAAAACUGGCCCAGAUUGCUAGUUUUUGCUAAAAAAGCUAGCAGCCAUGAAUGUCCCGGCCAGGGCG
rnacentral:tRNA from 1 species